GUGCAUGGUCCGUGCCUGGACGGUGACCUGCGCUUUACAGAACUCCAGGAAACGACCUUUCCCUAGGGCAGGGAGGAGACAGGAUGCAGAGCUCCUGCCUCUGCUGCUCUCAGUUCCGGGCUCGCAUGCCUGCUCCUGCCCUUGAACCCUAGCAUCCAGUGCCCUGAUCUAGGUGCCUUUCCUCCUUUCCAGAUGCAGUUCCUCCUGUAAUCCAGCGAUCUGCAGGAAAAACGAGACGACAGAAAUACAGUCCAAAUCUAAGAGCAGCCGCAACCACCUCAAACAGUGCAGGAGCUCCUGGCCCCACGGACAAAGAGCACCCUGAGGGCGCUGGGUUGAAGCCCACGGAGCCUGGGGACAGGCAGCAGUCCCUCUACUGCGCCACUUACAUUCCAUUGCAACAACAGGAGCGGAAGAGCGUUUUACAACCCGCUUGGACAAGUUUCAAGACAGGAGCUUGCAAGAUGCAUGGGAGUGACUGAAGAUAGAAUGCAGGUGUGGUUUAAUCAUAGAAGGGCCAAGUGGAGGAAAUAUCAGAGAGCACUGAGGUUCAGAGAUGCGCCGCCCCUGCUCCCGGCCCACCGUGUGGUCAGCAACAGGGGUGGACCCUGCAACACCGUCCUCGUUCAGGAGCCGGAUUGGGUCUGGGUCCCUCUGGAGCCGAUACCCCUGGACGUGAUGCCCUUGCCGCCCGUGCCCCCCUUGAUGCCACCCGUGCCACCCUUGAUGCCCAUGCUGCCCUUACCCCCUCUGUUUCUGCCUCCUCUGCCCUGGAUUCUACCAGCCUCCAUUCACUCCGGCUGCCCUCACGGCCUUGCCUGGUCCCCUACCACCGGUGGCCUUUCUGUAGCCCCGUUUCCUCUUGAAUGGUCUCCAUGACAGCUUUGUCGAAAGUGCCUUUGAGCCAGAUUGAAGUUCCGAUACCUCAGCAUCAAGCACACAGGGCCCGCCAAGUGCCUGCCAUGUGUCUUACAUACACAUGCUGAGUCACUGACCCACUAUUUUAGGGCCCGUUUUCUGUGUUUUCAAUAAAGUAGUGAAUUCUCUGCA
rnacentral:lncRNA from 1 species